CUGCUGCGGGCACACAAGAUGCACAUGGGCGUCGAUGCCGCCCGCGGUGAGAAUGAGAUGCUCGCCGGAAAUGGCGUCCGUGGAGUUGCCCACCACAAGAUGCGGAUCCACGUUGUCCAUGACGGCGGGGUUGCCGGCCUUGCCUAUGCCGACGAUGCGGCCGUCGCGUAUGCCCACGUCGGCCUUGAUGACGCCCUGCACGGCGUCGAUGAUGGUGGCGUUGGUGAUGACGAGGUCGAGCACGCC
rnacentral:sRNA from 1 species